rnacentral:rRNA from 1 species
CACGUAGGGGGCAAGCGUUGUCCGGAUUUAUUGGGCGUAAAGAGCUCGUAGGUGGUUCGGUAAGUCGGGUGUUAAACCCCCAGGCUCAACCUGGGGACGCCACUCGAUACUGCUGUGACUAGAGUCCGGUAGGGGAGCGUGGAAUUCCUGGUGUAGCGGUGAAAUGCGCAGAUAUCAGGAGGAACACCAGCGGCGAAGGCGGGUCUCUGGGCCGAUACUGACGCUGAGGAGCGAAAGCGUGGGGAGCGAACAGG